CUCAACUGGCUGAACCUGAUGAUGUGACACCAAGCUGUUCUGAGAGUGCAUACAGUAAGGAAAAGAAGAGGGUGCUUCAUGUCUGGGAUGCAGUCAAGGAUGACAUGCUUAAGGUGUCGUUUAAAUGUUCAGCACCAAUCACAACCCAGUAUGUUGUCUGCCGAGAACAUGCUGAUUAUAGGUGCAUUGAGUGCAGCUCCACUGCAGUGUUUUGUGAGGUUUGCCUGAAGAGGACUCACAGAAAUUCCCUGCAUCUUCCUGAAAAGUGGAAUAAUGUUUACUAUGAGCCAUCCUCCCUGGGGUUAUUCUUAUAUUUACCUGAAGGCCAUGGCACCCAUGCUGUGUACACAUAGGACAUGAAGGUCAUUGUCAGCACAGGACGGCUCUGCACCGUUACAGUCAACAUGUGUGCGUGUGAACCAGAAACCUGGGCUCUGGCCAGCAACAAUCGACAAGCCCCAGACAGCCUUCUCCAUCCCUCUGCUAGAGCU